GUUGAUUCAUGAAUGUCAUUCAUUGCAAUUGCUUGCACUGGGGAGGGUAUACUAUUUAAAUCUUUGUGCCUGCAAGACUUGUUGACAGGUGGGAUUUUGUACAUUUGAGAACAAGUGGGCAAGGCAAGGGGCUUCAGCCUAUGUGCUUUCUAAAUCUAUGAAUCUUAAAUGCACUAGAGCUUUUUAGGUAAGGACAACUUCUAACUCACUCAAUAGCCACAUUCCUUUAAGCAGACAUAUAUGAAGAAUAUUUGUGGGCAUGCAGAAAACCGCAAUCAGAUAAAAUUAAAAAUUUUUAUUGCUAAAAUUGAAGCACCAAAGUAUUUCAAGUACUUAGUUACACUCAGAGCUCUGGGCUGGUGAAAAAAGAAAAAAAAAGAAAAGAAUGAUAUUAAGGGAAUUUUGUUCCUAAGAACUCGCCUUCAAAUGCUCUUUUUUUUCCAUGUCUUCUAAUUUUCUUUCAUCUGUUAGGAAACUGGGUUGAUGUGAGCACAUAGUAAACUCAGGACAUUGUGUUGUAUAUUUUCAGUGUGGCUUUAUUUAUAUUUCAAUUUUAUAACAUUAUACAGAUGUCAAAAUCAGAGAUGAUAACAAAGUCAGUAUAUCUAUCUGAACUCAAGUAAGGUAAUAUCUUUUUAGGUUUUUAGAAAGUUUAACACAGAUCUUACGAAACUGAUUCAUAACAAAGUUUAUAACAUUCCCUAGCUAUCAUUAGUCAGCAGCCUCAGAGUCCAGGUGAAAAUAUUUUGCAUCAAAUCUGAAAAAUUCUCUGUCUUUUAGUACAUCAGUAUUAAUGCAAGAAGUAAAUCUGAAUAACUAGAUAAACAUACUCCCUCCACAGAAAUCAGAGGAAAGUUUCCAGUACUGCAUUCAUUCAUUGCUGCUUGGAUUAUGGUUGCUGUGUUAAACAUAGUUUGGUAUUUCUUUGGUAUUUCUGGUUGAAAGGACUGAUGGUGAGGGGCUGCUGAGAAAUUCCAAUGGUCCUGUGUGGAAAACAGAAGGUACAUGUGACUGAAGGAGCAGAAGAGAGAGAAAGUGGUUUAGCCCUUCAUCACCAUCCCGUGGUAGCUGCUGGGAAGCCAAAGUCUAAUGGGCUAGAUGCAGGAUAUGUCUUCACCUGUUUGGAAAGGUGUCUUGAAAGAGAUUCCCUGCCACUGAAGGAUGUUGCUGGCAUGACUGAUAUUCCACACGCAGCAAAUAAUUGGUACCGCAAGGAAAAAAAGUAUUUUCAUUUUGUACUUGGGGAGCUAAUUUAAAGUAGUUUUAUCUUACUGAUAUCACAUGCAAAGGAAGAUCAGUGAUACAUGAAUAUGCAUAACAACUACACAGAGUAGUGAAAAAGUCAAACAAUUUAAAGGGGUACAUACUGCACUGUAAGCAUAAUUUAUGGAGUAUAUGUCUUUGCUUGAGGCUUGUCCAAAGUUCCAUGCUCUAUCAAUCAGCUGACUGGAUUAUUAAAGCAGCUGAUGUUUUUUAAAGCUUUAGACAGAGUCACCAGUGCUGAUUUUGCACCACUAAAAUGUUUUGCUGUACAGGGAGAAUAAGUUCCUGCUAAGUUUUCAUUGUUGGUGAAGUGGAAAAUAACCACAGUGUGUAGGAUGAUCUUAGGAGAUAUACACAGUCUUAAAAAACAUACAAACAAACAUGUCUUGUUUUUUUUCUUUUUAUUUUCUUUUCCCUUGAGAAAAAAAAAAAGGCAAAAAAAAGAAGCUUCUAAUCAGAAUAAUAGGUUGUUUCACUGGACUUCCCCAGAGUCUAAUUUCCUCCCUUUUCAGUAGGGGGAUCGUUGUUAACUAUAAAAACAAAGAUUAUGCAACAGUUCAGAAAGUAUGGGCACAGAUUUACUGUCUUCUAAAUGUGCAAGACCACACAUACAGAAGAUUUUAAGUGAAUGUUAUUAUUAUUUUUUUUAAAGUGUCAUGUGAAUGUCAUUCUCUCUCUUAAAAUGUAUUUCAAAUGCCUGAAUGUUUGAUGAUAUGAUCAAGAGGAACUUGGCAGGGUUUCAGAUUUAGAGAUUGAUAUAGUUCAGACAAAAGCUAGAGUAAGGAGGCCAGUGCCACUGCCCAAACUAAAUAUGUUUUCCCUGUUGUCUAAGGGUUAGUCAAAGGAUUGAUUUGCCAGUGUUCCAUUUCCAGAGGGCAAGUAGGCAGAGGAAUUCCUUUAGAGUUAUUGAGGUAUUGAUUAGAUUUAAUGAAACAGAACUGAGAAUAACGUGAUUUAUUUUCAAAACUUCUAGAAUAGAGCAGCUUCUGUAUUCUUCUUCAAGUGGGUUGUUUAAAUGCCAGCAGUAGAAUACCACAGGAGGCUGAAGAAAAAGGAAACAAGAGAGAUGUGCACACAGAUAAAGGUAUUUAUUGAGAAUUAUUAUAUUUUGUAGCCAAGGCAUAGCUUGCAAUUAAUACAUUUUUGAGGGACAAAUACUAUUUUUUUUUCUUUCUUUUUUUUUUUUUUUGUUUUCCACUGAUGAAACUAAAAUGGUUGCAAUUUGAAUUUAUUGGUAUCACAGCUGCUUACACAGUUGUACACACUUACUUAUAAUAAUUAUGGUAUAAUUGCAGUGAUAUACUGAGAACUGUAGUGAGGGAGGAAGAAAUAUCAGAAAAGUCUAGUGAGGGUCCUGAAUCCUGUUGUAAUUAAAAUCCCAUUUUUGAAACAAAAAGGUUGAGUAAGUUUAGUUUGUCUGGUGCAUCUAGUCCAUUCUUUUGCAAUCCAUUGGGUAAUUUUUCUGAUGAGAGAAGACAAGAGUUAUGGGAACAAUAUAACUCUUACCUACUGCUGGCAUGUACUGGUGUAACUCAUACUGCUUUAUAACAUAAUGUAGUUGCACAGGUUGCCCUUGGCCUAAUUCUAUUCCUGCUUUUUGUGUGGCUUUAGUCUUCUUAAAAGCUUAUACGUAAAAAUGCCUUCUGACUAAGCAAAGAAUUCUUUAGAAAGCUUGAGGAAUGAAACUUGCUUCCAUUGACAGCAGCACUAAUCCUUGCUAUCAGCUCCAGUUCAGUUAGAUCAGGGAUGAUGUCUGGGUAUUUUAGAGCUGGAUAAGCACAGAAACAUGGUGUUUAUGCAUUUAAUCAACUGUACGUGGCAUUGGUUUAUGACCUGGCGCUUCCCACAAGAUAAUGAGUUAAUUACACGUACCUGGGUACUGUGAGGUGAAGGCUUGUGUUUUGGAUAUAACCAGGAUAUAACCCUGCUGUUUGAGAAUUUUUCAAAUUUGAUGGGAAAGGGGGAUUGGUGGCAGGUUACUGAUAGAGUAGGUGUCCAGGGAGCUGCAGAAAUAAAACAAAAAUCUACUCAGGAGAGAGGAAUAUU
rnacentral:lncRNA from 1 species